AUUGAACGCUGGCGGAAUGCUUUACACAUGCAAGUCGAGCGGCAGCGCGGGGCAACCUGGCGGCGAGCGGCGAACGGGUGAGUAAUACAUCGGAACGUGCCCAGACGUGGGGGGAUAACUACUCGAAAGAGUGGCUAAUACCGCAUACGAUCUAAGGAUGAAAGCGGGGGAUCGCAAGACCUCGCGCGUUUGGAGCGGCCGAUGGCAGAUUAGGUAGUUGGUGGGGUAAAGGCUUACCAAGCCCGCGAUCUGUAGCUGGUCUGAGAGGAUGAUCAGCCACACUGGGACUGAGACACGGCCCAGACUCCUACGGGAGGCAGCAGUGGGGAAUAUUGCGCAAUGGGGGAAACCCUGACGCAGCCACGCCGCGUGGGGUGAUGAAGGCCUUCGGGUUGUAAAGCCCUGUCGGGAGGGACGAAGUUCUUGACGGUACCUCCAAAGAAGCACCGGCUAACUCCGUGCCAGCAGCCGCGGU
rnacentral:rRNA from 1 species